rnacentral:rRNA from 1 species
UACGGAGGGUGCAAGCGUUGUUCGGAAUCACUGGGCGUAAAGGGCGUGUAGGCGGUCCGCUAAGUCUGAUGUGAAAGCCCGGGGCUCACGCCCGGAAGGGCAUUGGAAACUGGCGGACUCGAGUCCCGGAGAGGAAGGUGGAAUUCCUGGUGUAGCGGUGAAAUGCGUAGAUAUCAGGAAGAACACCCGUGGCGAAGGCGGCUCUCUGGGACGGUACUGACGCUGAGACGCGAAAGCGUGGGGAGCGAACAGG